AACGAACGCUGGCGGCAGGCCUAACACAUGCAAGUCGAACGAAGUCUUCGGACUUAGUGGCGCACGGGUGAGUAACACGUGGGAAUAUACCUUACGCUGGGGGAUAACAUCGGGAAACUGAUGCUAAUACCGCAUACGCCCUUCGGGGGAAAGAUUUAUCGGCGAAAGAUUAGCCGGCGUCCGAUUAGCUAGUUGGUGAGGUAAUGGCUCACCAAGGCUCCGAUCGGUAGCUGGUCUGAGAGGAUGACCAGCCACACUGGGACUGAGACACGGCCCAGACUCUUACGGGAGGCAGGAGUGGGGAAUAUUGGAAAACGGGCGCAAGGCUGAACCAGCCAGGCCGCGAGAGUGAUGAAGGCCGUAGGGUUGUAAAGCUCGUUCACCCACGACGAUGAUGACGGUAGUGGGAGAAGAAGCCCCGGCUAACUUCGUG
rnacentral:rRNA from 1 species